UACAGAGGGUGCAAGCGUUGUUCGGAUUUACUGGGCGUAAAGCGCGUGUAGGCGGUGGCGUAAGUCGGAUGUGAAAUCCCUCGGCUUAACCGAGGACGUGCACCCGAUACUGUGCCACUUGAGUACCGGAGGGGAUGGCGGAAUUCCCGGUGUAGAGGUGAAAUUCGUAGAUAUCGGGAGGAACACCUGUGGCGAAGGCGGCCAUCUGGACGGUAACUGACGCUGAGACGCGGAAGCGUGGGUAGCAAACAGG
rnacentral:rRNA from 1 species